AUGAACGCUGGCGGCGUGCUUAACACAUGCAAGUCGAACGGAAAGGCUCCUGCUUGCAGGGGUACUCGAGUGGCGAACGGGUGAGUAACACGUGGGUGAUCUGCCCUGCACUUCGGGAUAAGCCUGGGAAACUGGGUCUAAUACCGGAUAGGACGAUGGUUUGGAUGCCAUUGUGGAAAGUUUUUCGGUGUGGGAUGAGCUCGCGGCCUAUCAGCUUGUUGGUGGGGUAAUGGCCUACCAAGGCGUCGACGGGUAGCCGGCCUGAGAGGGUGUACGGCCACAUUGGGACUGAGAUACGGCCCAGACUCCUACGGGAGGCAGCAGUGGGGAAUAUUGCACAAUGGGCGCAAGCCUGAUGCAGCGACGCCGCGUGGGGGAUGACGGCCUUCGGGUUGUAAACUCCUUUCGUCAGGGACGAAGCGAAAGUGACGGUACCUGGAUAAGAAGCACCGGCUAACUACGUG
rnacentral:rRNA from 1 species